UCUUCAGGAAGCACUCCUUAAUAAAUCCCUUGCAGAUGAAGCCUCAUCUCAAAGUCUGCAUCUGGAAGAACUCAACUAAGAAAGCUGCACUUUCGAAAGAGCAGAAUCGUGGGUAGAAUUGUAUUAAUAGAUCUCUCGAGCUGGCUGGAGUCCUACAGGUACUCCUUCCAGGAUGAGGAGGACAUGUUCAUGGUGGUGGACCUGCUCCUGGGAGGCGACCUGCGCUACCAUCUGCAGCAGAAUGUGCAUUUCACAGAGGGGACUGUGAAACUCUACAUCUGUGAGCUGGCACUGGCCCUGGAGUAUCUUCAGAGGUACCACAUCAUCCACAGCAUUUUCAUGAAUUUAAAGCAGAUGCUUCAAACUCUGUCUUUAAAUUCUUCGUUCCUGUUCCCAUGGACCACUUAAUUUUAAAAUGUUAACACAUUAAAAGGCAAAUAAACGAUACACUAAAAGCACA
rnacentral:sRNA from 1 species